AUGCUUUCUUCUCGACUGAUGUUGCUUCACAGAUCCUACGGAUUCCCAUUUCUGAACAUGGAGGUGAGGACUUUGCUAGGAGGUCCAAAAUUUGGUGACUAUUGUUCGCUAGGCUUACAAGCUGGCCUAUCUGCAAUUUUUUUGCUUGCUCAAAGUAGCAGUGGCCAUGGACAUUUGAAGACUCUUUUGUCUGUUUGUGUUCGUGGUGUGGCCAUGGAGAGAGCUCAGACACAGGCAAAGAAGAGAAACAUUGGAAGACUCUUUAGUCUGUGUUCGUGCAGUGGCCAUGGGCAGAGCUCAGACACAGGCAAAGAAGAGAAACAUUGGAAGACUCUUUGGUCUGUUUGUGUUCGUGAUGUGUGGCCAUGGACAGAUCUCAGGCAGAGGCUAAGAAGAGAAACAGUGGAAGACUCUUUUGUCUGUUCGUGUCAUGCUCAUCAUGUGUGGGAUGAAGUCAAACUUGAUUUUCAACAUUAA
rnacentral:rRNA from 1 species